GGUUAAGUGACUAAGCGUACACGGUGGAUGCCUUGGCAGUCAGAGGCGAUGAAGGACGUAUUAACUUGCGAUAAGCCCAGAUUAGGUAGUAAAAACCAUUUGAGUCUGGGAUUUCCGAAUGGGGAAACCCACUAGCAUAAGCUAGUAUCGCUGCGUGAAUACAUAGCGCAGCGAGGCGAACCGGGGGAACUGAAACAUCUAAGUACCCCGAGGAAAAGAAAUCAACCGAGAUUCCGAAAGUAGCGGCGAGCGAAAUUGGACUAGCCCUUAAGCUUUUUAUGCGUCAGGUGAAACUUCUGGAAAGUUGUGCGAUACAGGGUGAUA
rnacentral:rRNA from 1 species